UGCAGGACCAACAAGGUUGCAGGACAUAGA
rnacentral:piRNA from 1 species